UAUGAGGUCAUUCUCCAACCUUGAGUCUCUAGAACUCAGAAGCCAAGCCUGAAACUGAGAGCCUCCCUCAGCUGUUUCAUCCUCCCUCCUCCCCUUCCGACUCCAGCUGCUCAGUCUUUGGUCUUUCUCUGCCUCGCUCCUGCCACCUCCACCUUGAUGCUCUCCUUCUUGCCCGAGCCAGUUCAGGUCCGGGGUUUCCCCAGCCACCAGCUUGCAGCCCUGGGCUUGUUCCUGUUUCCCGUGCUGCCAAAAUGAGCUCCAUGAGUUGUUCGGUUAUCACAGAAAUGACUGAAGACACGGCUCAGCAGCACUUUCAGGGUGUGGGACAUCAUUUCUGAAACUACUCAAUGUGUGUUUUGCUAUAUUUCUUUUCACAUUUGGUGCUUGGCCAUCCCAUCCCACAGGUCAUGGCCUCAGGAAAGGGACAUUAAGCAGUGACCAUGGAAAAGGAUUUUUCAAAAGAACAAGAAUGUGGGGCAGAUUGUGCAUCUGUGGUCUUAAAACAGGGAGACUGAAAACGAAAAAAUGGAAACAAAGUCUUUGUAAAUAGGGAGGGGUGAAGGGGUUGAAGGGAGGGCAGGGGAUUGGGGGGAAAAAUAAGAUCCAAGAUAGAUUAUGUCAAGGUACAAAUUUCCAGUGAUGUAUGUCAUUAUAUUGUAUGCCUAAAAUGUACCAAUAAAAGUAAUUAAACAAAACAAAACAAAACAAAACAGGGAGACUGCCCUGGACCAUCUGAGGGGGCUACACUACUCACAUGAACCCUCAGAAACAAAGAACUCUGGCCCAGAUGGACAGAUGGGUCACAGGGGAGGGAGGUGAGAGAGACUGGAAGCAGCUAAAGCUGCUGCUGGAAGCCAGGCCUUUGCUGCUGGCUGUGAAGAUG
rnacentral:lncRNA from 1 species